rnacentral:rRNA from 1 species
AUGUUUCAUAUGUUUUCAUGUACAAACCGAGGCAUGCGGAUGCGGGGGCGAUGGCGGGCAUCUCCGGCAGCGGCGGCGACCUGCAGGCAAGAGGCAACGACUGGGGUGUUCGAUUCGAUCCAGCGCCAUGGCCUGGUCCCUGCAGGAGAGAGAGAUGAGGGACAGAGAGAGAAGGAAGGAGAGGAGGGACAAAGAGAGAGGGAGGUGAAUGCACUGGACUCUUCAAGAUCGAGCGCACCAUUGGAAAGGCCGAGUACGUCCAUCGACAGCCUGCCCAUUGUCCGGAUUCACCAAGCAGUACAACCGGAGAUGCUGUCGGCUGCCUGCAGGCACCAAACCGCCCGCUGUUGUCUCUGCCUGAAGAAGGAUUAUGGUUCUCCACCCCUUUGCUACUCAUAUUAA